GAUGAACGCUGGCGGCGUGCCUAAUACAUGCAAGUCGAGCGAAGCGGGGACGGGUGAGUAACACGUGGAUAACCUCCCAUCACAGGGGGAUAACACUUGGAAACAGGUGCAAAACCGCAUACUUAUAGAUGGAUCCGGGUUGCAGUACCUAGUUGGUGAGGUAACGGCUUACCAAGGCAACGAUGCAUAGCCGACCGGAGAGGGUGAUCGGCCACACUGGAACUGAGACACGGUCCAGACUCCUACGGGAGGCAGCAGUAGGGAAUCUUCCGCAAUGGGCGAAAGCCUGACGGAGCAACGCCGCGUGAGUGAUGAAGGUCUUCGGAUCGUAAAACUCUGUUAUUAGGGAAGCGGUACCUAAUCAGAAAGCCACGGCUAACUACGUGCCAGCAGCCGCGGUAAUAC
rnacentral:rRNA from 1 species